rnacentral:misc_RNA from 1 species
AAGCGUCGCCUUAUGCGGUAACGGAGGCUCACCGUUCAUGGAUGAAAUAUAUCGGUGUUGCUACGGCCACAAACAAAACAACAGACGAGGCGGUCUUUUGACGCCGCUCUCUUCCCCACCCUACCCCCUCUCCCCUCGCCUCACUCUUGGCACGAGGGCAGCGCGCGCACACGCGUAUAGCGUCUAUAGUGGGUGAAAGGUGUGCUGUAGCAGUCACCUCACCUAUUGUUUCUUUUUGUUGUUGCUGUUACUUUCUUCAGCACGUUCUUGCUUUACCUUUGGCCCUGGUGCACCGCAUCCGCCCGCUUGCCUGCACACCCCCUCCACAGCAACGGUUUCCUCAUUUUGCGCAAACGUCAUUACCUCUCCUCGGCCCUCGCCCCAGCCAUCGCCGUGCCGAUGUCGUCUCCAGCACCACCUACCGAUCGCGCAGACGCUGGGCUGCUUCAUCAUCUGUCGCACUCCCCGCCAGAGUCACCGGAAUCGUCCCCGCCGCCGCCAGCCUCCUCGCACCGCACGGCCGUGCUCACCUGGGAAGACGUCAGCUAUACCGUCAGCGGGGCUGACGAAGGGGAAAGCCGCACCCUCGUGCGACAUGUCUCCGGCUACGUUAAAAGUGGCGAGAUGCUCGCCGUUCUAGGACCUUCUGGGGCGGGCAAGACGACGUUGCUCGAUAUCUUAGCGCAGCGCAAGAUGAAAAGCAAGGGCAACAUCACAGGUAGAAUUAUGCUGAACGGAGAGCCCGUUGAGCCGGCCGCCUUCCGGCUUUGCAGCGGCUACGUGCAGCAGGAGGACAUUAUGCAUAGCUAUGUGACCGUCGAGGAGGUGGUCCGCUUUUCUGCCACCCUCCGCACCUCGCCGACUAUUUCGGAAGAGGCGCUGGAGAGUCGGGUGUCUCAGGUGCUUCGGCAGCUUGGUAUUUAUCACGUGCGCCACAGCUGCAUCGGUAGCGCACUAAUGCGCGGCAUCAGCGGUGGAGAGCGAAAGCGGUGCGCUGUCGCCGCAGAGAUGGUGACGUUGCCGUCCCUGCUCUUCCUGGAUGAGCCGACAACCGGCCUCGACACCUUCACGGCGCUGCAUCUCCUCACGCUUCUGCGCUCGCUCUCCCGUUCAGGGGUGGCUGUUGUUUUCUCCAUCCAUCAGCCGCGCUCGCGCAUCUACGAGGUCUUUGACCGCGUUCUGCUGCUGAACGGAGUCGGGGAGGAAGCGUACUUCGGACCUGCCGCUGACGCGGUCCGGUUUCUUGCCGAGAUCGGCCUCUCCUCCGGCUGUUCGAGCAACCCAGCCGACUACCUCAUCGACGCCGUUUCCGUUUUGCCAGUCGAGGAGGAGGCGUGGCUGUCAGAAGAGGCGCAGCAAUCGGCGGCAGUGGAGGCAGCCACGUACGGAAAUCAGCUCAGCCUACCCUCGCCGUCAGUCGACUCAAAGGAAAGGUGGGAACGGUUGCCGUCGGCAGCGCCAACGCAAGGCCGUGACAUCGCCGCCGCCUUUUCUUCUCUACGCCUAGCCGACGUUAUGCGGCAAAUCGACGAGCUGCAACGCUCCUCCAGAGCGGCAACAGCGGCGCUGACCGCGACCGGAUCCCCAGUGCGCGCCUAUCACCGCAGGUGGACCACACAAGUGCGGUGCAUCGCCAUGCGGUGUCUGCGCAAUCGUUGCCGUGACCCUGUCGCGACGUACGUCUCCGUCACGUCUGCUAUUGUAUUCGCCUUUCUCACGGGCACGAUCUACUACCAAGUCGGAAACUCGCAGGACAGCAUCCGCAGUCGCAUGGGCGUCCUCUUUUUCAUCAUGAUGAUCAGUACCUUCUCCUCCCUCGGCAGCCUCGAGAUGUUUCUGACUGAUCGCGCCAUCUACGCGCGCGAGCACCGCAACGGCAUGUACAGCACAUCGGCGUACUAUAUAGGCAAGUUUAUUCAAGAUGCGCCCAUCGUGGUGGCGACAAACUUUGUCUUCAACUUGAUUGUCUACCUCCUAGUUGGGUUGCAGGGCACCGUCGCGAAGUUUCUCAUCUUCGACAGCGUCGGCGCCUUGGUCACGCUGAACAGCUACGCUCUCUGCCUUCUCAUGUCGAACCUGUCCAAGGACUACGCCACCGGCAACAUUCUCACCUCGCUGCUGUUGGUGCUGUAUCUGCUGCCAACAGGCGGCAUGCUGGUGAGUCUGAACAGCAUCCCACUCAUGUGGCGCUGGAUCAAGCACGUUUCCUUCGCCCGCUUUGCCUUUUCAGUGAUGGUGGCGAACGAGUUUGACGGGCUGACCUUCGUCUGCGACUCCGUGCCGUCCGACAUCGCGCCGUGCAUCACAUCUGGGACGGCGUACGCGGCCUCGCAGGGCAUGUAUGCCAAGGACAUUAGAUCGCACAUGCUCGUUGUCGCGUUCAGCAUGGUGGUCUAUCUUGUACUCGGCUACCUCGUACUGCGCGGAUGGCGGUCCACUGAGGGAAAGUGAAGCCAGACGGAGGAAGGGGGUGGCCAACGAAGAGAGCAGCCGAAACGCCGAUUUCGAGGUCGUUUCAGUGGAAGCAAUCAGCCUGAACGUGUUGUAUGGCAUCGAAUGCUCUACAGCUCCGGUUGCUCUGUCUGCGUCUUCAUCCCUACGGUUGCGUGUUUGGAGCGAUGUCAUUUGUUGUCGCUGCGUCGUGCCGUUUUCUUCUUGGGCUGUGUGUUCAUUAUGUUUGGCUUUGCAGCGUCUUUUCGUUGUUGCUGUUACCUGCUUUCCUUUCUCUCCAGCUACUGCUGUGCAACCCAUCAUCUCAUGCAUUGCGGUUUUGACCCCUGUGUCUCUACCCACGUCACCCCUCCGGCCCACCGCCCCCCCCACCACCCCUGCGUGUAGUAGGUGGUCCAGCACUGCCUCGUGUUGGGGUACCAUUAUUUCUUGCUUUUUCAGCGUCUCCAUUCGACCACGGCCCAGGUCAACAGUUAUACGUAUACAAAACCACAGCACACUUGCUUCGGCUGCACCACGGCUGCGUCAGGAAACCGGGCCAAUCAACACCGUUUGGCGUCGUCCAGCCCCCGGCGAUUCCACUGCAUACAGCGCGCAGUCUAGGGCCAAGAUUGAGCCCCGCAUCACCGCAACGCAGCAAAAAGGGUGAAACAGAGCAGCAGGUGGAUGCACAUAUUUUCUGAAUCACCGACAAGACUCGUAGUGGGCUUGUACAAACGUGCUCUCAUGAUGAUCGCACGUCUCUUUGGGUCAGUCCCCACCCAGACCUGUCCGCCAAGAGCCUGCACUUGUGCCCGAGGACAGUCUGUGCAGGCUGCUUGACGGGCCCGCAUCAUUAGGGUGUUGGGGCACUGUCGCAACG